rnacentral:lncRNA from 1 species
UGUGUGUAGAUAUUAACAUUUUAAUGACCACAUAUUCACUUAGGAUCUCACUUCGUAAAGGCCACAGGACUGAAAUUGAAUGAAUGCAACAACCAUGUCUCUGUCACCUGCAAACACAGUCAUAGGUGGUACUGGUAACAAAAAUUCACCCUGGGAAUUAUGCAAAUAAGACUUAAAACCCUACAGCAGGACUAUUCAAUUCCGGUCUGGAGGGCCAAAACAUUUAUGGUUUUGGAAGAACUAUUUAUGGUUCUUCAGAGACACUAAAAUGGUUCCCCUAUGGCAUCACUCUCAAUAACCAUAUUUGGUUCCAUCUUGCACCUUUAUUUUUAAGAAUGUAUUAUGUAUAUCAAUAAUGGGUAGACCCCUCUCCCUCUCUGUCUCAGCGGGAUGUAAGCUAUGGGCCCCUAUCCCUCUCUGUGUCUCUCAGUGAGACAGAAAGUAGGCUGGGGGCCCAGGGCCCUGAGUGUCUGUGUUCUAAUUGCUGUUCUGGCGAUCCAGUGAGGAGGGCCAGCCAGUACCGAGGGGAGGGCUGUUCCUUUACCACACUGAUUUAUUGGACAAUUUCACAGCAGUGUCUGCAGUAAUGGGACAGGAUAAAUGGCUGACCCCUCUCUGACUGAGAUAACUCCAGGGGAAGAGGAGAGCAUGCUGGCCUGCCUCCCCACUUGGUGUGUGUGUGGCAACUUUCCUUCCCUACUCUGUCUAUAUAACCCCCACUAAUUCUCCAUCUCUCCUUUCUUUAUCCCUCCCCUACUAUCCUAUCAUGAGCAAUUUGCUCCCACCCCAUGUCAUCCUCUCUAUCUUCCUCUCUCUAUCCCUCCGUGUGUGUGUGUCUUUCUUUCACUCUCCACAGUCCACUAUCACUCGGUAUUUAUCUAUUUUCUCCCUCCUGUCGGUCCUUUCUUUCUCUCCCCCUUCUCUCCCCCCUGCUGCCCACCCCUUUAUUCAACCCUUCCUCCUGGGCGUGUGCGUGAGUGUGUGCGUGCAUGUGUGGGGUGAUCCCAAGCCUUUUAUGGCUUGACCUGUAUGGGGGCAGGUAGAUUGCAGGUUGCACUACACAUUUCCAUAUCUGUCUGUUCUCUGUCCAUCUGUCCUAUGCUCUGCUGUGAACAGGCGAUGUCUGGCCGCCUCUCAACAGGUCCUUCACUCCGUGUGAACAGGCGAUGUCUGGCCGCCUCUCAACAGGUCCUUCACUCUGUGUGAACAGGCGAUGUCUGGCCGCCUCUCAACAGGUCCUUCACUCUGUGUGAACAGGCGAUGUCUGGCCGCCUCUCAACAGGUCCUUCACUCUGUGUGAACAGGCGAUGUCUGGCCGCCUCUCAACAGGUCUUUCACUCCGUGUGAACAGGCGAUGUCUGGCUGCCUCUCAACAGGUCCUUCACUCCGUGUGAACAGGAGAUGUCUGGCUGCCUCUCAACAGGUCCUUCACUCCGUGUGAACAGGAGAUGUCUGGCCGCCUCUCAACAGGUCCUUCACUCCGUGUGAACAGGAGAUGUCUGGCUGCCUCUCAACAGGUCCUUCACUCCGUGUGAACAGGCGUUGUCUGGCCGCCUCUCAACGGGCAUUUACACUUGGGGUAGUGAAGUGCAGUCUGGGAGGAAGGAAACAUGCUCUCACUCCUUAUCUCCCUCUCUUCAUCCCCACCCCUCUCUCUUUCAGUUUUAAUUUACCUCUCAUUUUCUCCCUCCCUCCCUCGUCUCUCCUCCUCUCUCUCUUUUCCUCACUUCAUCUCCCUCUCUUUCUCUCACUUUAGCCUCUCUCCCCCUCCCCUCCCCUUCCCUCUCUCUGUCUUUUGGCCCAGUGGUUAAUGGGAAUCAAAUGGCAUCUCCCGUGGCGUGCGUCAGACUAGCGGGCCGUGAGUGAGGGGCGGUGGGUAGGGGAGUGCCUGUCUGCUUGUGUCUCCACCACGGGACGCCCACGGCAACAGAUGACCCAUCACUGCAGAGACAGAGCCAUGGCAACACAUCUUAUUAGACCAACAGGGACCAUCUGAUAGAGCUAUUAGUGUAGGAAUGACAGGGUAAGGGCCGUUCUGAGCUCUUUAUCUGUUGUGGCUCCAACAUGGAGGACUGCUGUGCUGAGGAAGUGGUUGUCAUGCUGUGGGAACUGGGAUGGUCUGGCACUGACUUAACCUACUUAAACUUACUUUACAGUCAACAACCUUAUUGUACUAAAUUAUUAGAGGCCAAAUGAGAUAAUAGAUACUGUGUUAAAGUUAGGAUAUAUUGAUAUGUGUAAAGGAUGUGACUUUAGAGAGGGGGGUUCAACAGUGAUGAUAACUUGUGGUCAUUUUUUGAAAAACUCCUCUGGCCUCUGCCAGUAUGUAACCUUUGACCCUCCUCCCCAGUCCACACUGCAUCUGCCAGCCUUACAAAGCCACACAAAUAUCCCACACAUCACAUGUCUCUGCAUGGGGACCAGCAGAUAGCUGCUUAUCUACAUCACGUGUCUCUGCAUGGGGACCAGCAGAUAGCUGCUUAUCUACAUCACGUGUCUCUGCAUGGGGACCAGCAGAUAGCUGCUUAUCUACAUCACGUGUCUCUGCAUGGGGACCAGCAGAUAGCUGCUUAUCUACAUCACAUGUCUCUGCAUGGGGACCAGCAGAUAGCUGCUUAUCUACAUCACGUGUCUCUGCAUGGGGACCAGCAGAUAGCUGCUUAUCUACAUCACGUGUCUCUGCAUGGGGACCAGCAGAUAGCUGCUUAUCUUCACUGUUGUGUAAGGGGCUGAAGUCUCCUCUCCCAAAG